CCUACGGGAGGCAGCAGUGGGGAAUUUUGGACAAUGGGGGAAACCCUGAUCCAGCCAUUCCGCGUGUGCGAUGAAGGCCUUCGGGUUGUAAAGCACUUUUGGCAGGAAAGAAAUCGCACAGAUUAAUACUUUGUGUGGAUGACGGUACCUGCAGAAUAAGCACCGGCUAACUACGUGCCAGCAGCCGCGGUAAUACGUAGGGUGCAAGCGUUAAUCGGAAUUACUGGGCGUAAAGCGUGCGCAGGCGGUUCGGAAAGAGAGGUGUGAAAUCCCAGGGCUUAACCUUGGAACUGCACUUUUAACUCCCGAGCUAGAGUAUGUCAGAGGGGGGUGGAAUUCCGCGUGUAGCAGUGAAAUGCGUAGAUAUGCGGAGGAACACCGAUGGCGAAGGCAGCCCCCUGGGAUGAUACUGACGCUCAUGCACGAAAGCGUGGGGAGCAAACAGGAUUAGAUACCCUGGUAGUCCACGCCCUAAACGAUGUCAACUAGCUGUUGGGGGCUUCGGCCCUUAGUAGCGCAGCUAACGCGUGAAGUUGACCGCCUGGGGAGUACGGUCGCAAGAUUAAAACUCAAAGGAUUGACGG
rnacentral:rRNA from 1 species